UCCGCCCACCCUCCCAGCCCUGCUCGUCCUCUCCCCUACCUUCGCUGGCAAAGUUGUCGCCGAUGAUGGAGCCCAGCCGGCCUUUUUCCGUCGUCGGUAGGUUGGAUGAUGAAUGGAAGAUGCCCACAUCUGCUCAAAUCUGCAUGGUAUUAACCAUGAGAGUGCUGGCUUGGAGACCAACAAUUAGGACGGAGAGCAGUACCAGUCCCCAAUGCAGCAUGAAGUGCCCUUCCGAUUGGUAAAAUGAUCCCCCAGAUUGACUUGAGUUUGGAAUACUCUGUGCACAACUAGUUCAACAUGGAUUACAAAUUUGCAGUGUCCAGCCGAGAGAAGUGAUGGAUAAGAUGCAUGCAUAGAAUCUUUCCAGAUGAAUGCCAUUUGUGGGAAAGACCUUGUGUAUGAGUCUCAUUCCAGCAAAAAUCAAGUUCUGAUGGUGAGGAUGUACUGCAGGCUCACCAAGAAAGGGACGGAGAUAUUCAAGAAUUCCUCCCAGUACCUGAUGAGGAAGAAUUGGUUGAGGAUCCCACGGUGGACAUGGCAGCUAUAAUAAGGGAAGCAAGAAGCAAAGACGUGAAGGCCAAGGCAAUUAACAUAGCAGCAGUUCGCCCAUCGUCCGGGCAUCCUGAUCAGGACCGAGCUGCCGCACGCUCUGAUUUGCAGCGAUCUGCCAUUUUGGUCUCUGAAAGGGGGGGCUUCUGCACUCACUCUACCAAGAGGAGGAUGGGUGUCUCUCUCUCUCUCUCUUCCUGGGUUCAGACUCCAGACGGCUAUGCAGGACGAAACUGCCCGUUUUACCUCUCAUUGGUGUCGAUGGAUUGCCAUUCUUCACUCAACAGCGAGCUCCAACGUGUUGGUUAAUGGAGUCCCAGGAAGGAAAAUCUUCCAUGCUCAAGGUUUAAGGCAGGGGGUCUGAUUUCCCCCUGCUGUUGGUCAUUGCUAUGGACACUCUCAAGGUGAUUAUUCUGAAAGCUUCCAAUGCCAAUGUGCUCUUCAACUUGCCUGGGAUCUCAUCCAUGCAACGCCUGUGCAUCUUCGCGGACAAUGUAGUCCUGUUCACCCACCCAUCACAACUUGAUUCGAACUGCAUCAUUCGGAUCCUUGCUGCAUUUGGGGAAGCCACGGGUCUCAAGGCUAACUGUAUGAAAUCAUUGGCUAUUUUCAUAAGGAUUGGAGGGGAGGAAAAGCUACGUGUCCAGCAUCUCUUGGAAAAGCUACGUGACCCAUUCACCAUCUACUAGUCAUGGGGGCGCGGUAUUCGAGAAAAUUAACAAGUGGCUUCGAGCUAUCUUCUAGGCGGGAACUGAUAAGAUGCACGGUGACCAAUGCCCGGUGGCAUGAAGCAUGAUCUGCCGCCACACUUGUUACGGAAGCCUGGGUGUGAAGAAUCUAUAACUGCAAGCGAUUGCACUUAGAGUUUGCUGGGAAUGGCUUAGAAGGAAUUAACCUGACAGACCUUGGCAAGGCGUACACCUACUCUCAGAUGACAUGGCAAAAGAGGUUUCGACAACUUGGUGAAAAUUAUGCUGGGAGACGGCAAGAAGGUGCUGUUUUGGCGCGAUCGCUGGAUUAAUGGCUAUAUGGUUGAAGAAAUUGCUCCUCAUCAUACAGCUUGUCAGCAAAAGGGAUGCCUAUCCCGACUGCAUCUGGAUAUUGCAAUCCCUUUGAUUGUGGAAAAUCUAGAGGGUUGGUGACUCGCUCUAGAAAACAGUUGCAGGACAAAGCCGGGAAGGGAUUUGACUCGGUGGUCAUGCUAAUUGCCUGGAAUCUAUGGAAGCUUUGAUGCAUGGGUAUUCAACAAAAGAGAUAAACAGCGCUCGACUCACUCUCCAGUUGAUCAUAUUCUACAUGAGUUGAACUGUUGAAGGCAUGGAAGGAGGCCCGUGUGGUGUAUCUCAAUGUUUUUCUGAGUAGUUCGGUUUGGUUAUCUUUAGGUGUGGUUUAGUCAUUGACAUUGCGUAGCAAUUGCUGAGGACUCUCUUAUAAAUCUAUUUGCUGCCUUCUAUAAAAAUAUGAUACGUUAUUGGCA